CAGCGCCACGAGUGGUAACCACGAUUAUUGGGCCUAAAGCGUCCGUAGCCUGCCUAGUAAGUCCUUUGUGAAAUUGUUCGGCUCAACCGAACAGCGUGCAAGGGAUACUGCUAAGCUCGAGACCGGGAGGAGUCAGAAGUAUUCCAGGGGGAGCGGUAAAAUGUUAUAAUCCCUGGAGGACUACCUGUGGCGAAGGCGUCUGACCAGAACGGAUCUGACGGUGAGGGACGAAAGCCAGGGGAGCGAACCGGAUUAGAUACCCGAGUAGUCC
rnacentral:rRNA from 1 species